rnacentral:rRNA from 1 species
GUGGGGAAUAUUGGACAAUGGGCGAAAGCCUGAUCCAGCCAUGCCGCGUGUGUGAAGAAGGUCUUCGGAUUGUAAAGCACUUUAAGUUGGGAGGAAGGGCAGUAAGUUAAUACCUUGCUGUUUUGAUGUUACCGACAGAAUAAGCACCGGCUAACUUCGUGCCAGCAGCCGCGGUAAUACAGAGGGUGCGAGCGUUAAUCGGAAUUACUGGGCGUAAAGCGCGCGUAGGCGGCUUUGCAAGUCGGAUGUGAAAUCCCCGGGCUUAACCUGGGAACUGCCUCCAAAACUGCAUGACUAGAGGACGGUAGAGGGUAGUGGAAUUUCCUGUGUAGCGGUAAAAUGCGUAGAUAUAGGAAGGAACACCAGUGGCGAAGGCGACUACCUGGACUGAUACUGACACUGAGGUGCGAAAGCGUGGGGAGCAAACAGGAUUAGAAACCCGAGUAGUCC